ensembl:lncRNA
AUUUUUUUAAGGUAGCAUGGAAGUUUUAAUUUAAUGGUUCUCUCAUAGAAGGAGAGGAAGAGGUGAUGAUGACGAUGCAGAGAGACCACCCAUCUGCACCAGCUGAGCCCAUCUGCAGAGGGCGUUCUGCAGAUGCCUUGCUGCAGCUCAGCUCCCAGCUGCACAGGAGCUGAAGAGACCUGCAUGGGAGCAAGUGGUCUGCAAGCUCCUUUCUGCCCAGGAAGAAGCUGGAUUGUUGAACUUGUGAAGAGCAUGGAAUCAAGUCCCGCUUCCAACAGGCCCUUAGCCAGCUGUGGAAGCUUUGGGAAAUUCCUUCAUUCCUCUGAGCCUCAGUUUCUUCAUCUAUGGAACCUACACCUCCAGCAAAGCAUGGUGUGGUUUAC